UCGGGAAUUUUGGGCAAUGGGCGAAAGCCUGACCCAGCAACGCCGCGUGAAGGAUGAAGUAUUUCGGUAUGUAAACUUCGAAAGAAUAGGAAGAAUAAAUGACGGUACUAUUUAUAAGGUCCGGCUAACUACGUGCCAGCAGCCGCGGUAAUACGUAGGGACCAAGCGUUGUUCGGAUUUACUGGGCGUAAAGGGCGCGUAGGCGGCAAUUCAAGUCAUCUGUGAAAUCUCCGGGCUUAACUCGGAACGGUCAGAUGAUACUGCUUUGCUAGAGUGCAGAAGGGGCAAUCGGAAUUCUUGGUGUAGCGGUGAAAUGCGUAGAUAUCAAGAGGAACACCUGAGGUGAAGACGGGUUGCUGGUCUAACACUGACGCUGAGGCGCGAAAGCCAGGGGAGCAAACGGGAUUAGAUACCCAAGUAGUCCCUGAGCGGGCUGGCAAGGCGCAU
rnacentral:rRNA from 1 species